rnacentral:rRNA from 1 species
CAUGAGUGAUGGUGGAAAGUUUUUUCGGUUGGGGAUGGGCUCGCGGCCUAUCAGUUUGUUGGUGAGGUAAUGGCUCACCAAGACGACGACGGGUAGCCGGCCUGGGAGGGCGACCGGCCACACUGGGACUGAGACACGGCCCAGACUCCUACGGGAGGCAGCAGUGGGGAAUAUUGCACAAUGGGGGAAACCCUGAUGCAGCGACGCAGCGUGCGGGAUGACGGCCUUCGGGUUGUAAACCGCUUUCAGCAGGGAAGAAGCCCCUCGGGGUGACGGUACCUGCAGAAGAAGUACCGGCUAACUACGUGCCAGCAGCCGCGGUAAUACGUAGGGUACAAGCGUUGUCCGGAAUUAUUGGGCGUAAAGAGCUCGUAGGUGGUUGGUCACGUCUGCUGCGGAAACGCAACGCUUAACGUUGCGCGUGCAGUGGGUACGGGCUGACUAGAGUGCAGUAGGGGAGUCUGGAAUUCCUGGUGUAGCGGUGAAAUGCGCAGAUAUCAGGAGGAACACCGGUGGCGAAGGCGGGACUCUGGGCUGUAACUGACACUGAGGAGCGAAAGCAUGGGGAGCGAACAGGAUUAGAUACCCUGGUAGUCCAUGCCGUAAACGUUGGGCACUAGGUGUGGGGGACAUUCCACGUUCUCCGCGCCGUAGCUAACGCAUUAAGUGCCCCGCCUGGGGAGUACGGUCGCAAGGCUAAAACUCAAAGGAAUUGACGGGGGCCCGCACAAGCGGCGGAGCAUGCGGAUUAAUUCGAUGCAACGCGAAGAACCUUACCAAGGCUUGACAUACACCAGACCGUUCUGGAAACAGUUCCUCCCCUUUGGGGUUGGUGUACAGGUGGUGCAUGGUUGUCGUCAGCUCGUGUCGUGAGAUGUUGGGUUAAGUCCCGCAACGAGCGCAACCCUCGUUCUAUGUUGCCAGCACGUGAUGGUGGGAACUCAUAGGAGACUGCCGGGGUCAACUCGGAGGAAGGUGGGGAUGACGUCAAAUCAUCAUGCCCUUUAUGUCUUGGGCUUCACGCAUGCUACAAUGGCUGGUACAGAGAGAUGCGAGACCGCGAGGUUUUAGCGAAUCCCUUAAAGCCAGUCUCAGUUCGGAUCGUAGUCUGCAAUUCGACUACGUGAAGUCGGAGUCGCUAGUAAUCGCAGAUCA